AACGAACGCUGGCGGCAUGCCUAACACAUGCAAGUCGAACGAGACCUCCGGGCCUAGUGGCGCACGGGUGCGUAACGCGUGGGAACCUGCACUUAGGUUCGGAAUACCUCCCCGAAAGGGGUGCUAAUACCGGAUAAUGUCUUCGGACCAAAGAUCUAUCGCCUUUGGAUGGGCCCGCGUUGGAUUAGCUAGUUGGUAGGGUAAAAGCCUACCAAGGCGACGAUCCAUAGCUGGUCUGAGAGGAUGAUCAGCCGCACUGGGACUGAGACACGGCCCAGACUCGUACGGGAGGCAGCAGAGGGGAAUAUAGUACAAUGAGCGAAGGCCUGAUCCAGCAAUGCCGGGGGAGUGAGGAAGGCCUUAGGGUUGUAAAGCUCUUUGACCCGGGAUGAUAAUGACAGUACCGGGAGAAUAAGCACCGGCUAACUCCGUG
rnacentral:rRNA from 1 species